CUUUUAAGGGAUAGAAGCAAUCCAUUGGUUUUAGAAACCAUCCACCCU
rnacentral:tRNA from 1 species